rfam:Dipodomys ordii contig_81448, whole genome shotgun sequence.
GGUGACUCAGUGGUAGAGUGCUUGCCUCACAUGCAUAAGACUCUGGGUUCAAUUCCUCAGCACCA